AGUGAACGCUGGCGGUAGGCCUAACACAUGCCAGUCGAACGGCAGCACAGUAAGAGCUUGCUCUUACGGGUGGCGAGUGGCGGACGGGUGAGGAAUACAUCGGAAUCUACUUUUUCGUGGGGGAUAACGUAGGGAAACUUACGCUAAUACCGCAUACGACCUACGGGUGAAAGCAGGGGAUCUUCGGACCUUGCGCGAUUGAAUGAGCCGAUGUCGGAUUAGCUAGUUGGCGGGGUAAAGGCCCACCAAGGCGACUAUCCGUAGCUGGUCUGAGAGGAUGAUCAGCCACACUGGAACUGAGACACGGUCCAGACUCCUACGGGAGGCAGCAGUGGGGAAUAUUGGACAAUGGGCGCAAGCCUGAUCCAGCCAUACCGCGUGGGUGAAGAAGGCCUUCGGGUUGUAAAGCCCUUUUGUUGGGAAAGAAAAGCAGCAGGUUAAUACCCCGCUGUUCUGACGGUACCCAAAGAAUAAGCACCGGCUAACUUCGUG
rnacentral:rRNA from 1 species